UACAGAGGUCCCAAGCGUUGUUCGGAUUCACUGGCGUAAGGGUGCGUAGGUGGUGGGGUAAGUCGGAUGUGAAAUCUCCGAGCUCAACUCGGAACUGCAUUGGAAACUACCCUGCUAGAGGGUCGGAGGGGGACUGGAAUACUUGGUGUAGCAGUGAAAUGCGUAGAGAUCGGAGGAACACCAGUGGCGAAGGCGACUACCUGGACCAG
rnacentral:rRNA from 1 species